GAGCAAAUACAGGAAAGAGAAGAAGAGGGUUUUUCUAAGUAGCGGUUCACAGCUCAGAUGGGAGUUAUCUUCAGGAAGGAGAUGAUGCAUGCUCCUGUCAACAUUCCUUUCAUCAUUCAAUAUCCAUACCAAGUUCAAACCCACCCGACUUCAGAGUGAGCUAGGAGGUGUUAAAACUAUCACUGCCCCCUUAGUGGGACUUGUGAAGAUUGGAAUCGCAUCACAGGAGCCACAAGGGACUUUAAGGUUAAAAGUACGAUUUUAUCACUCAACUUGGCUGCAGUCUUGAACUCCUUAUUGCUUCUGUAUCUGAAUUCAGUUACUUAUAAAAUGAGACAGUAUUAUCAAUCUCAGAGUGGUUAGGACAAUCAAAUAAGGGAAUGGCACCAAGAAAAUUUGAGGAAUAUGAUCAUUUUUAAUAAACAAAUAACUAAAAUCACAAUUAGCCUCAUCUAGAUAACCUUUCACAGACAUGUCCAGAGGCUUCUUAUCUCCUUGGUGAUUCUAGCUACUGCAAAGUUGACAACUGGCUAUUCCAACAGAGCAAUCUAGAUUAUUUCUGCUGUCAAAGCACAUUACAAGACUAAGUGUAACAUCAAGACCUAGGACAAUUGUUCUAGUUAGCCUCAACUGUCAUCUUGGCAUGAUAUAGAGUCACCUGAGGAAGUCUCAGUUGAGGGAUUGACCAGAUUGGAAUAGCCAUGUCUGUAAGAGAUUGUCUUGAUUGACGACUGAUAGCCCCCAGCCCACCUUGGGUUGCACCACCCCUAGGCAGAUGGGGCUGGACUGUGUGUGAAAGUGACCUGAGAAAGCAUCUGUGAGUGAGCCAGAGAACAAGUCAGCAAGCUCCACUCCUCUGUGGUCUUGCCUUCAUAUUCCUGACUUGAGUUUCUGCCUUGGUUUUC